UACGUAGGGUGCAAGCGUUGUCCGGAAUUAUUGGGCGUAAAGAGCUCGUAGGCGGUUCGAUAAGUCGGGUGUGAAACCUCCAGGCUCAACCUGGAGACGCCACCCGAUACUGUCGUGACUAGAGUCCAGUAGGGGAGCGUGGAAUUCCUGGUGUAGCGGUGAAAUGCGCAGAUAUCAGGAGGAACACCAGCGGCGAAGGCGGCACUCCGGGCCGGAACUGACGCUGAGGAGCGAAAGCGUGGGGAGCAAACAGG
rnacentral:rRNA from 1 species